rnacentral:rRNA from 1 species
UACGGGGGGGGCAAGCGUUGUUCGGAAUUACUGGGCGUAAAGGGCUCGUAGGUGGCCAACUAAGUCAGACGUGAAAUCCCUCAGCUUAACUGGGGAACUGCGUCUGAUACUGGAUGGCUUGAGUUUGGGAGAGGGAUGCGGAAUUCCAGGUGUAGCGGUGAAAUGCGUAGAUAUCUGGAGGAACACCGGUGGCGAAGGCGGCACCCUGGACCAACACUGACACUGAGGAGCGAAAGCCAGGGGAGCAAACGGG